rnacentral:rRNA from 1 species
AGUGAACGCUGGCGGUAGGCCUAACACAUGCAAGUCGAACGGCAGCACAGGAGAGCUUGCUCUCUGGGUGGCGAGUGGCGGACGGGUGAGGAAUACAUCGGAAUCUACUUUUUCGUGGGGGAUAACGUAGGGAAACUUACGCUAAUACCGCAUACGACCUACGGGUGAAAGCAGGGGACCUUCGGGCCUUGCGCGAUUGAAUGAGCCGAUGGCGGAUUAGCUAGUUGGCGGGGUAAAGGCCCACCAAGGCGACGAUCCGUAGCUGGUCUGAGGGGAUGAUCAGCCACACUGGACCUGAGACACGGUCCAGACUCCUACGGGAGGCAGCAGCGGGGAAUAUUGGACAAUGGGCGCAAGCCUGAUCCAGCCAUACCGCGUGGGUGAAGAAGGCCUUCGGGUUGUAAAGCCCUUUUGUUGGGAAAGAAAUCCAGCUGGCUAAUACCCGGUUGGGAUGACGGUACCCAAAGAAUAAGCACCAGCUAACUUCGUGCCAGCCGCCGCAGUAA